rnacentral:rRNA from 1 species
CGCUGGCGGCGUGCCUAACACAUGCAAGUCGAACGAAUGUAGCAAUACAUUAGUGGCGCACGGGUGAGUAACACGUGGGAAUCUGCCUCAUAGUUCGGAAUAACACCGGGAAACUGGUGCUAAUACCGGAUACGCCCUUCGGGGGAAAGUUUUUCGCUAUGAGAUGAGCCCGCGUUGGAUUAGCUAGUUGGUGGGGUAAUGGCCUACCAAGGCGACGAUCCAUAGCUGAUUUGAGAGGAUGAUCAGCCACACUGGGACUGAGACACGGCCCAGACUCCUACGGGAGGCAGCAGUGGGGAAUAUUGGACAAUGGGGGAAACCCUGAUCCAGCAACGCCGCGUGGAUGAUGAAGGUCUUCGGGUCGUAAAGCACUUUUCUAAGAGAUGAGAAAGGACAGUAUCUUAGGAAUAAGUCUCGGCUAACUACGUG